UGAAAAGUUUCUGUCCUGCAAAAUGGUGUAA
rnacentral:piRNA from 1 species